AUUGAACGCUGGCGGCAUGCCUUACACAUGCAAGUCGAACGCAUCGCAAGAUGAGUGGCAGACGGGUGAGUAACGCGUGGGAAUCUACCCAGUUCUACGGAACAACAGUUGGAAACGACUGCUAAUACCGUAUACGCCCUACGGGGGAAAGAUUUAUCGGAAUUGGAUGAGCCCGCGUAAGAUUAGCUAGUUGGUGGGGUAAUGGCCUACCAAGGCGACGAUCUUUAGCUGGUCUGAGAGGAUGAUCAGCCACACUGGGACUGAGACACGGCCCAGACUCCUACGGGAGGGAGCAGUGGGGAAUAUUGGACAAUGGGCGCAAGCCUGAUCCAGCCAUGCCGCGUGAGUGAUGAAGGCCUUAGGGUUGUAAAGCUCUUUCACCGAUGAAGAUAAUGACGGUAGUCGGAGAAGAAGCCCCGGCUAACUUCGUGCCAGCCGCCGCCGUAAUAC
rnacentral:rRNA from 1 species